rnacentral:rRNA from 1 species
AGAGUUUGAUCAUGGCUCAGGACGAACGCUGGCGGCGUGCUUAACACAUGCAAGUCGAACGAUGAACCGACAGCUUGCUGUUGGGGAUUAGUGGCGAACGGGUGAGUAACACGUGAGUAACCUGCCCUCUUCUUCGGGAUAAGCGCUGGAAACGGUGUCUAAUACUGGAUAUUCAGGCCUUGCCGCAUGGUGGGGUUUGGAAAGAUUUUUUGGUGGGGGAUGGACUCGCGGCCUAUCAGCUUGUUGGUGGGGUGAUGGCCUACCAAGGCGACGACGGGUAGCCGGCCUGAGAGGGUGACCGGCCACACUGGGACUGAGACACGGCCCAGACUCCUACGGGAGGCAGCAGUGGGGAAUCUUGCACAAUGGGCGAAAGCCUGAUGCAGCGACGCCGCGUGAGGGAUGACGGCCUUCGGGUUGUAAACCUCUUUCAGUAGGGAAGAAGCCUUCGGGUGACGGUACCUGCAGAAGAAGCGCCGGCUAACUACGUGCCAGCAGCCGCGGUAAUACGUAGGGCGCAAGCGUUGUCCGGAAUUAUUGGGCGUAAAGAGCUCGUAGGCGGUUUGUCGCGUCUGGUGUGAAAACUCGAGGCUUACCUUGAGCUUGCAUCGGGUACGGGCAGACUAGAGUGUGGUAGGGGAGACUGGAAUUCCUGGUGUAGCGGUGGAAUGCGCAGAUAUCAGAGGAACACCGAUGGCGAAGGCAGGUUCUCUGGGCCACUACUGACGCUGAAGGAGCG